rfam:Macaca mulatta chromosome 13, whole genome shotgun sequence.
AUUGUCACUGCUGCUCCAAGGGCACACGCAGAGGGAUUUGGAAUUCCUGGAGAGUUGCCUUUGUGAGAAGCUGGAAAUAUUUCUUUGAAUUCCAUCUCUUAGUUUUCCAUGUAAGUGUUCAGUUUACAUUUGGGUUGCA